AGAAUUUGAUCCUGGUUCAGGAUUAAUGCUAGCGGCGUGCCUAAGGUAUGCAAGUUGAACGGACAGUUACAUUUCUAGCUUGCUAGAGCCGUAACUGUUAGUGGCGAACGGCUGAGUAAUAUAUAGGAAUCUACCCCUAACUUGGGGAUAACCAAUCGAAAGGUUGGCUAAUACCCGAUGUGGAGGAAACUCUAAAGAUUUAUCGGUUAGGGAAGAGCCUGUAGCCUAUCAGCUAGUUGGUGGGGUAAAAGCCCACCAAGGCUAUGACGGGUACCGGGCCUGAGAGGGCGAACCGGCAGAGGGGCACUGAGACACGGGCCUCACUCCUACGGGAGGCAGCAAUCGGGAAUCUUGCGCAAUGGACGAAAGUCUGACGCAGCGACGCCGCGUGGAGGAUGAAUGCCUUCGGGUUGUAAACUCACAUCAAAAAGCACCGGCUAACUACGUGCCAGCGGCAGCGGUCAUACGUAGGGUGCAAGCAUUAUCCGGAUUUACUGGGCGUAAAGAGUUCUGUAGGCGGUUGUGUAAGUUGAGGGUAAAAUCUUUCGGCUCAACCGAAAGGCUGCUUUCAAUACUGCAUAACUAGAGUCAUCUAGGGGACAGUGGAAUUCGUGGUGGAGCAGUGAAAUGCGUUGAUAUCACGAGGAACACCAAGGGGGAAGCCAACUGUCUGGGGAUGUACUGACGCUAAGAGACGAAAGCUAGGGGAGAGAAAAGGAUCAACAAGGUAUCGGUCCCUCUAUGGGGGUGACCCUUUAGAGCAAAUUUGGCUAUAUGCUGGAAAAUCUGAAGUAUCUGGUGCUAGGCAUUUAUUAUAAUAAUAUUUGUUAUAAUUUGUGUAAUGCCUAAAAAUGCAUCCAGUGCAGACAAUCAGCAGGAAAGAUCCAAAAAAGUCAUAAAACAAAGAUUAUUUUGGAAAUCCUCAGAGACUACACGCCAAAUAUCUCAAUUUGAUAUAAGUCUUGCUUAUUUAUUGGGCUUUUUGUAUACCGAUGGGUGUUUAUCUCCCAAAGGCAAUGGGAAUUGGAGAAUUUACUUUA
rnacentral:rRNA from 1 species